UAAAACGGCCGUGGUAUCCUAACCGAGCAAAGGUAGCAUAAUCAUUUGUUCCCUAAAUAGGGACUAGAAUGAACGGUUAAAUGAGGACUAAACUGUCUCUUAUACUAAACCAAUAAACUUGAUCUUUCAGUCCAAAAGCUGAAAUAACACCAUAAGACGAGAAGACCCUGUGGAGCUUUUAGACCGACCUACAAACCUCAUGUAUUUCAAGGUUUUUAGUUGGGGCGACUUUGGAGCACAAAAACCCUCCAACCACGGAAUCUUACUUCUAGACAUACACGUCAACAAACCCAUCCAGACCCAGUAAACUGAAUAAGUUAUCUGAUCUAUGAACCAAGUUACCCCAGGGAUAACAGCGCUAUCUUCUUCUAGAGUUCUUAUCGACAAGAAGGUUUACGACCUCGAUGUUGGAUCAGGACACCCCUAUGGUGCAACCGCUAUAAAAGGUUCGUUUGUUCAACGAUUAAAGUCCUACGUGAUCU
rnacentral:rRNA from 1 species